UCUCCGUUGGUGUACCAGCGGAGGGAUCAUUACCGAGUGCAAACUCAUAACCCUUUGUGAACCUAUAUCUGUUGCUUCGGCGGCUCGCUCUCGGGCGAGCCCGCCGGUAAUAUCAGUAUCUCUGUUUGAACCCGACGAUACUUCUGAGUGUUCUUAGCGAACAGUUAAAACUUUUAACAACGGAUCUCUUGGCUCUA
rnacentral:misc_RNA from 1 species